AUGGGUAUUUCCAUCCCAACUAGAGAAGUUGGACUACUUCCUCUCUUUCAGAGGAAACAGACUGAAAAGUCUCCCAGCUGUAUUCAUGCUCUACUAAUUUUCUUUCCCUCCUUUCCACCAGUUUUUGCCUGUGUGAAGAAUAGGCAUUUCUUGUGUUUCCUGCAAGAGAACCUUUGCAGAACUUCUUUUGCUUGGAAAAUGGAUGCCUGGCUCGGAGUAAAGGGCAUGCAGUGCACAGUCCCUAGCAGAAGCUGAAAAGGGAUGACACCUACUGAUGCUUGUCGACAAUGUCUUCUCCUCUCUUCCUGUUUGAGAUGGGUGAUACGACCAUCAGGAAAAAGUUCUAAAAUAAGCUUGAGUGACCUCAUCGCCCCUUGACUCCUCUUUCCACAAG
rnacentral:lncRNA from 1 species